rnacentral:tRNA from 1 species
GGGCCCGUAGCGCAGAAGGAUAGCGCAGCGGCCUCCUAAGCCGUAGGUCGUGGGUUCGAAUCCCACCGGGCCCG